rnacentral:piRNA from 1 species
UGCUCAACUUCUUUGUUGACCAAGAUCCA